rnacentral:rRNA from 1 species
AUAAGAGCAGAAACAAAACUAUGAUUUUUUUCUAAUAGAGAACGUUAUAAUAUAAUUGGUAAACUCGAACGACGGACAAAAGCUACGCUAGGGAUAACAGUCUAACACGCCCUUAGAGUUCCUAUCGAUGGGCGUACGAGGAACCUCGAUGUUGGAUCAUCGCAUCCUAUGGCUGAAGAAGGUCAUAAGGGUUGGAUUGUUCAUCCAUUAAAGCGGUACGUGAUCUGAGUUAAGAACGUCGUGAGACAGUUCGGAUUCUAUCUUUGUUAGCAAAGGCAUUGAAGGUGUAGCCGUAUGGUUUCACACUCAAUUAUUGUUGAGUAUAUUUUUAGUAUACUAAACUUAUACACAACAACAGAGGAACUGAAGUAAUCUUCAUUCUAAAAUUAUGUAACGCCUAAGCAACUAAAGCCUUUGAGAGUGAGUACGAAAGGACCAAUCUCUUAUAAACCUCUGGUAUACUUGUUGUCUAAAUAACGGUAUAGCAAGAAAGCUACGUUUAGUGGGGCUGAUUUGCUUAAUUUCAAUAAUAUCGAAUGGGCUUAGUUUAAAAUAACUAAAGAAUUAUAUAACAUAA